CUCGCAAUAAAAUAUUGGGUAGGCUCUGCUCCAUGUUUUUAUAUAGCCGCAGUAUUUUGACUGUGCUAAGGUAGCAUAGUAAUUUGUCUUUUAAUUGGGGGCUAGGAUGAAAGAGUUGACGACACUUUUGCUUUUUUAGCUUGUAAAUGGAAUUUGAUAUUUGCCUUAAAAAGUGCAACUUUCUAAGGGGACGAUAAGACCCUAUAAAACUUUAAUUUAUUUUAUUUUAAGCUAUUUAGAAUAUUUUAUAUUUGUUAAAUUAAGCUGGGGCGGCAGCUAAAAUUCAUUAGAAGAUAUAACAUAACUAUUGAGUUUAAAGAUCUUGCUAAGAAAUGGAAUAAGUUACUUUAGGGAUAACAGCACAAUUUUUUUGUAUAGGCCCUAUAGAAUAAAAAGACUUGUGACCUCGAUGUUGAAUUGAGGGGCCUUACUAAAGCAGAAAUUAGCUAGGGGGGUCUGUUCGACCUUUUUCCCUC
rnacentral:rRNA from 1 species